GGACUUGCUGUCUGUUUCUCAUUGCUCUUCUGCUGGAGAAACAGGGCGCUGGACGGAGCUCUAUCGCAGUGACACGGGCUGAUUGAGUGCUGUGACUGCAGGCCAUAUCUAGCAUGUCAGCGGUCACAGCAGCUCCUGUGAUUUAGUGCAGAGAAGCAUGUCAGGUAAUGGGGAUAUAAUGGAUGGCAGGGUACCAUGACGACAUCAUAUCCCAUCCUUGGACAGGUGUUUCAGUUUGUGAAUGAGAGGAAAUGGGAUCUUUACACCCAAUUUGAAGUGAAGUGAGUGUGCGUUUACAUGGAGGAUAUCCCGUGACCCUAGUGUAAUGACUUGCAGACUACAGAUGAAAAAGAACCUCACAAAUAGUUCUACUUCAGGCCAAGUGUUGACGUUCAACUGCAUAAUGUGGGUGUCAGUUUUGUUUGGAGUACAAAGAGUCAUGUUCAUACACAGUUAGGUUAUAAAAGACAUGAUUGACAAUCACAUUCUAUAAGUGU
ensembl:lncRNA